GCGCCCGUAGCUCAGUUGGUAGAGCAGUGGCCUUUUAAGCCAUUGGCCCUCGGUUCGAAUCCGAGCGGGCGCACAA
rnacentral:tRNA from 1 species